ACCCUGUUGCUUCGGCGGGCCCGCCGCUUGUCGGCCGCCGGGGGGGCGCCUCUGCCCCCCGGGCCCGUGCCCGCCGGAGACCCCAACACGAACACUGUCUGAAAGCGUGCAGUCUGAGUUGAUUGAAUGCAAUCAGUUAAAACUUUCAACAAUGGAUCUCUUGGUUCCGGCAUCGAU
rnacentral:misc_RNA from 1 species